UUCUUAUGCCUCGUUUACCUGAUCAUUAAUUUUAAAACCUCGAGCUGUUAGAAAUAUGCAACUAAUUCACUUAGAUUUCGAUGAUCGAAACUCGAUCCAACCAGCCUCACGCCACUUAAAACAUGACUCAGCCUAACCCGACCUCCCGCCAUUUGAACGUGUCUCGAUCCAACUUGACCUCCAGCCACAGGGCAGGUUGCUGGCUCCUUUAAUUAAGCCAACAAUAGAUGCUUCCGUAUUCCUAUAAAAUAUACCUAGAAUAUUUAAUUUAAUUUGUUUAAUGCACGAUCAUAAUUUCAAAUAUAUCUCUCCAAAAUUCUAAAAAUUUUAUUGAAUAUAAAAAAUAAAAUUAUUGUCCUCCGAUAGCUUAACCUUCUGA
rnacentral:lncRNA from 1 species